GGGGGUGAGACAAAGACAGGACAUAAACUGUGGGGUGAGAGGAGGUGCAAUGAGGGACAUGUGGGGGCGUAGGGCAGGAGUUCGCUUUUUCCACAGAGAUCUUGCGAAGGUCGAAGCCGGCAGCCAGCACAUUGGGUUCCGGGACAAGGUUCUCUGCCCCCACCUGCAGCUGGAAGCAAGUGGCUCAGGCCAGGGGUCACAAGGCGUUCAGUUUCCAUGCUGCAUAAUCCGGACUCCACAGAUCAGCUGAUCACAACUAACGGUGACCCAGCAUGUCAGUGCCGAGUCUGGAGUCUGCAAAACUCUGAUCAGGAGAAAUCUAUGCCUUUUCCUGUGGUUUGCCCAAGAGGUCCCUCUGAAGCUAUGCAUGCUAAAGGUAAGGCUGGGGCCAGCUGCCGCUGAUAGGGUGAGAACUAUGCUGCCUCUUCAGAGCUCUUCAGUGGGAUGGCAUGAGUGUUGAACAUGUCCUUGUUGGAGAUACAGACUAUUUAUCUAUGUUCCGAUUACCCCCUGCUUUACUCUGUGGCUGGCUUUUCCAGAGCCAGGUUAACUGUAACUACAGCCUCUCCAUCUUUGCUUAGAGGACAUACAAAGACUUCAGUACACAUCUCCAGGAUGAACCUGGGAGCCUGGUUACAGCAAUCCCUCCAGCAGUUUCUUCCCUAAGCAUUUAUUAAGGGAUGCUAUGUCACCCCAAUCUCCAUCCAUGAACCACAUUCACCAGGAAGAAUAUACUCCAGGUUCUCUCUCUCUCUCUCUCUCUCUCUCUCUCUCUCUCUCUCUCUCCUUCCUUCCUUCCUUCUUUUUUUCCUUUUUUUUUUCUUUUUGAGGCAGGGUCUUAUGUAGCCCAGGUUAGUCUCUAACUAUAUAUCUUUUUUUUUUUUUCGGGGCUGAGGACCGAACCCAGGGCCUUGUGCUUGUUAGGCAAGCACUCUACCACUGAGCUAAAUCCCCAACCCCUCUAACUAUAUAUCUUGAACCUCUGAUCUUCUUGGCUUUACCUCAGGGGUGCUGGGAUGAUGGCAUGUAAUUACAGCAUUCACCACCACUAUGCCCAGGUCUUAAGCUUUCUCUUUCUUUCUUUCUUUUUUUUUUUAAGAUUUAUUUAUUUUAUGUAUAUGUGUACAUUGUGGCUGUCUUCAUACACACCAGAAGAGGGCAUCAGAUCCCAUUACAGAUGGUUGUGAGCCACCAUGUGGUUGCUGGGAAUUGAACUCAGGACCUUAGGAAGAACACUCAGUGCUCCUAACCACUGAGCCAUCUCUCCAGUCCCCGAGCUUUCAAAUCUUAAGGUCAUAGGGGGAGAGUGAGUGGACACAGGUUAGAGGAGAGGCUGAGCGUCUGCUGCUUGUGCUACAGUGCACAUGUGGAGGUCAGAGGACGAACUUGAAGAAGUUAGUUCUCCCUUCCAUCCUGUCACAUUGUCAGGUUUAGCAGCAGACAUCUUUUUUUUUUUUUAAUUUAUUUAUACAUGUACACUGUAGCUGUCUUCAGACACACCAGAAGAGGGCAUCAGAUCUCAUUACAGAUGGUUGUGAGCCACCAUGUGGUUGCUGGGAAUUGAACUCAGGACCUCUGGAUGAACAGUCAGUGCUCUUAACCACUGAGCCAUCUCUCCAGUCCAGCAGCAGACAUCUUUAUCCACUGAGUUAUCUCAUCAGCUACCCCCCACUCCUUUUGAGACAGGGUCUCAUGUGGCCCAGGCUGGCCUUGAACUUUGGUUCUUCUGUCUCUGCCUCUUGAGUGCUGGGAUAACAGGCAAAUGCUAAGUGUGCCUGGCACACAGUUUUUACAGUACUUGCAAUCAAAUCCAGGACCUGGUGCAUGGAAGGCAAGCACUUUAAUUGAGCCACGCUCCAGGAGCUGUACCUGGGCUACUGGGAUAUGUAGAGUGACAGCCUGGGAUGGACAUCGAUGACACUGUACUGCAUUUCCUUAGCAGGUCAGUUCUGUCCUUGCACUGGGGACCUAGACCUGCCUGCUUGUCAUGCUGGCCACCAUUGUGCUGGUGGCUCUCCCGUUUAUGCGUAAGGAGCUGCCAUCACAUAUAAACAUCUCCAGCACAGAUUAGCUUCCUACAGACAUAACACUGCUCCACACUUCUAACUCACUUGGGAAGCCCUGCUGGAUCUCUAAGGGACCGUGCCUUUCAGAUAGUCUGUGAGCAGAAUUCUUCGAUGGUAUCCCAUUGCCCUCCCUGGUUCUAUCUGACACUUGGGGUUGUAUAACCUAGGACGAGUUCCUUCCCUGUGGAAGCAGAGUGCCCUUCCCUACUCAAUCCCUGGAACCCAGGCAUGGACCACUCUGACACAUCAGAUGUGAUGAGUGAGCUUAAGGUGGGAAGCUGUCCUGAUGACCUGAGUGCACCGGUCUAAUGACAUGGCACCCCAGAAACAGAAAAUAUUGUUUUGGGAGCAUAUGGUUCCUUAACUUCCUUUUUUCUUUUUUUCUUCUUUUUUUCAGAGCUGGGGACCGAACCCAGGGCCUUGCGCUUGCUGGGCAAGCGCUCUACCACUGAGCUAAGUCCCCAACCCCCCUUUUUUCUUUUUUAAAAAGAUUUAUUUAUUUUAUUUAUAUGAGUACACUGUUUUCACACACACGAGUAGAGGGCAUCGGAUCCCAUUACAGAUGGUUGUGAGCCACCAUGUGGUUUCUGAGAAUUGAACUCAGGACCUCUGGAAGCCUCUGGAAGAGUAGUCAGUUCUCUCUCUCUCUCUCUCUCUCUCUCUCUAGGAUUUAUUUAUUUUUAUGUAUAUGAGUAUACUGUAGCUGUCCUCAGAUGCACCAGAAGGCAUCAGAUCCCAUUACGGAUGGCUGUGAACCACCAUGUGAUUGCUGGGAAUUGAACUCAGGACCUUUGAAAGGACAGUCAAUGCUCUUAAUCACAGAGCCAUCUCUCCAGCCCCAACUUUCUUUAACUUAAUCAUCAAUCAAUUAAUUGGAUUCCAUGAUUCACAGUGGAAAUACUGGUUCUUUGAGCUAUGUCACCAGAAUGAUCCAGAAGGUCAAGGGCAGGAGGGAGGAAUCUAUGUGGAAAGCACUGUCCGACACCUUGUGGUUGGAAUGAGCACAGCCCCCCCAGGCUCAUCCAUUCGAACGUUUGGUUGCCAGUCCAUAGACUAUUUGGGAAGGAUUGGGAGGUGUGGCCUUGCUGGAGGAGGCAUGUCACUGGGGUGGGCUUUGAGGUUUCAGAAGUCCACACCAGGCCCGAUCUCACUCUCUCUGCCUGCAACUUACAGAUCAGAUAUAAGUUAUCUACCACUCCAGUGUUACGCCUGCCCGCCUGUCUGCCGCCAUGCUCCCAGCCAUGAGGGCCAUGAUCUCACCCCCUGAAUCUGUAAGCAAGCCCCCAGUUAAAUGGUUUCUUUUUAAUAAGUUCCCGUGGUCAUGGUGUCUCUUCACAGCAAUAGAACAGUAACUGAGACUCGGAUCAUUCAAAGCCAGGGACUCAGUGGCUGUACUGGCUGGUUUUGUAUGUCAACUUGACACAAGCUGGAGUCAUCACAGAGAAAGGAGCCUCCCUUGAGGAAAUGCCUCCGUGAGAUCCAGCUGUAAGGCAUUUUCUCAAUUAGUGAUCAAGCAGGGAGGGCAUCCCUGGUCUUGGGUUCUAUAAGAGAGCAAGCUGAGCAAGCCAGGGGAAGCAAGCCAGUAACAUCCCUCCAUGGCCUCUGCAACAGCUCCUGUUUCCUUACCUGUUUUGUUCCUGUCCUGACUUCCUUUGGUGAUGGACAGCAAUGUGAAAUGUAAGCUGAAGAAACCCUUUCCUCCCCAACUUGCUUCUCGGUCUUUGUACAGGAAUAGAAACCCUGACUAAGACAGUUGUCAAGAAGAGAGAAGAGCCAAGAUGUAAGAGACCCAGAAACAUCAUCAGAGAGAGCGAAUAAUACAGAGAGCAUUUAGCAUCCCUCCCCCCAAACCCCUGCCCCCAAGGUUUCUCUGUGUAGCCCUGGCUGUUCUGGUACUCACUCUGUAGACCAGGCUAGCCUCAAACUUCUAUCUGCCUUCCGGGUCCAUCCUGGGACUAGAGGUGUGCACCACUACUACCCAGCAGCCCCUGUGCUGUUUUGAGGAAAGAAAAGAUAGUGGCUUGCCCGAAGCCAUGAAGCCAGUCUAAGGCACAAGCCAGGGCUUCAGGAAUAUAUGAUAAAGGCUAGGCAGGGUGGUGCUCACUCACAAUCUAACAUUGAGAGGCUAAAGCAGGAAGAUUACAAAUGACAGACCGGGCUACAAAGUGAAACCUAGUUUCAACACACACACACACACACACACACACACACACACAGAGGGGUGUUGGCUCAGUGGCAAAGGCGCCUGGGAACCUGAGUUCGAUGCCCAGGACUUAAAUGGUAGAAGAAAACUGAUUCCAGCAAAUGGUUCUCUGACUCCACGUGUACUCUCUGGCAUGCGUGUUCAAUCCCUACCCCCACACCACACACAAAUAAAUAUAGUAAAGGAAAAAAAAGGUGGACAGAGAACACAGACACCACAAAGUUGUUUUCCAACCUCCACAACCUCUGUGUGGCAUACACACCCCCCAGAACAAUUAUAAAUAAGAUAUUUUUAAAAGGAGGGGCAAGUGCAGUAGCUCACAUCUUUAAUCCCAGCACUUCAGAAUGUUGGGCAAGUAGAUUUCUAUGAGUUCAAGGCCACAGUUGGGCUAUACGGUGAGUUCUAGAUCAGUUAGGUCUACAUAGCAAGACUCUGUCUCAAACAAACAAUAAAUGUAUGUAAUAUGUUAAAAAUGAAAUGGCCACUCAGUUUUGCACCCAUUUUUUUUUUCUAUUCUUUUUUUUCGGAGCUGGGGACCAAACCCAGGGCCUUGCGCUUGCUAGGCAAGCGCUCUACCACUGAGCCAAAUCCCCAACCCCCCUUUUUCUCUUAGGAAACCUUUCUGAUCAAGAGGGCAAGACAGGCACACAGUGAAGAAAACACUUUUUUUUUUUUUUUUUUAAUCAACCAACCUGCAUGGAUACCUGGGAGGUCUCAGCCCACAAGGUUUCGUUGAGAAGCAAACCCAGAUUCCCCCUGUAAAACCCAGCUUAUAAAACCAAAAGGCUUCGAAGCAUCCGUGGCUAAACCCUUGAGUAGAGAGAGCCCUGCGGGAAGGGAUGGGAGAAGUGAGUGUUGCUGGUGGGAAGUGACCCAGUGGCAAGAGGUAGCCUGACUUAAAGGAAACGUAUCCCUCUCUGAUUAGGCUCACCACCCAGGGACCUGUGAUCGCCAGAGGAACUCCUGGGCGUGGCUAUUCUGUGUGGCACACUGGUUGGAGUGGAGUGGGGCUUGCCGCUCUAGCUCAGGAAAGACUGGAGAGCGACGUGUUCACCUCGACGUGUUCACCUUGGGUGCGGUGUGAACUGUCUCCCCUGCGCGUUCACCUCGGUGCGGUGUAAACUGUCUCUCCCGCACAAGCUCCCUGCUAGGUCCCUCUGCUUCUUAGCUGCCCUUCCGAUUGCUUCCGCUUCACAGAUCGGAGGCACCGAUGUCUGUUCUCUCUGUACGUAACUCACCAAGCCCUACCUACUGAGGACACGGGGUUCUUAGGGCCUCUGUGGAGGAAGAAGAUGGAGAAAAGCCCUCCUCUCUGCUUGUUCUCAGGAAAGGGUGGGGUUCUAGUCCUCCUGACUGGAGUCAUCCACACUCAUUCUGCCCCUUCAUAUUCCCAGGCUUGCUUCUGGAUCACCAUCCUCUCUCCCUCAGGGACCAUGACGGUGAAGUAGGUGGAAGAAUGGAGGGUUUGCUUGGGAUUGCUUGGGGGGAGUGGACCCCAGCUUAGAGAUCUGGCGGACGAGUAGUGGUUCUGCUUUUGUGGAGGACGAGGUUUAGAAGUUUACCAAAGAUGAGCAGGCUGAGUCUACAAAGGCUUCCUGUGGGUCAGGCUGAACUCAAGGCUUUAGGCUCUGUUUGCCUGGUUCCCAAGAGAACGAACUGGUAUAUUGCUUUAAGAGUGGAGCUGGUGUGUUGUGGUGGUGAUAUGUGAGUGUGCGGGAUUGCCCGAGCUAGAAGCGGGGCUUGGAAACCAAAUCCAGAGGCCAGAUACUGGAUUGGAGAGUCUCAAACUAGAACACACAGGAUUCAAAGCCUGCCUCUGCUAAAACCUUACUGUGCGGCUUCAAGCAAGUCGCCUCACAUCUCUGGGCCUUAGUUUCCAUAUCUGCCCCAUAGCCCAGGGAAUUGAAAAGUCAAACGAGAGUGCUAGGAGUAUCAUCUGCUAAGGGAUUAUUUUAAUUAUUUGAGGUGGGGAAACUGAGCCCCGGAGAGAGCAAAGACUCUGCCCGAUGUCACACAGGAUGCCAGUGAUAGAGCCCAGGACUCCUGCUUCUAGUUCACAGUAUCUUUCCCCAGGGCAGGUGAAUGAGAGGUGAGAUGGGGUGAGUUCGUCUGUCUUGCUGUUUGGACUGAGGGCAAGAUACUAGGUAAGGAGUAGAGCUGAAGAAAGAGGAAGACCCUGGCACGUACCAAGGCUGAGAUUAAAAAAAAUACAAACCCAGCGAUUCCCCCUCCCCCCAACCCCAUCCUGCCCCAACCCUGAAGUCCGGCUAGGGUCAGGUCCAAGUUCAAGUCUAAGUGAGUCCGCAUUUGCUCCAGGGGCUGCAGAUCCAGGAGGCUGUACAAGCUGCAGUUAGCCUAAGCGCCGCCAGGGGGCGCGCCUGCUCAUCGUGAUCCAAGCCUCCGGACAGCGCUGCUUCAGGCUCCAGAGGUCCAGGGAGCUUUACGAGGUGGGUGCGGAACAGAAGCUACCCAGACCUGCAGGAAACAAAAGCAGGUUAGAAGUGUAUUUGCAGGCCUGCGAGUAGGUGGUCAGAGAGACCCGGAUGCCCACGCCUUCUCCAUGCACUUCUUUCCACCAACACCAAGUUACACCCUCCAGUUACACCCAGUCCCCGCCAAGGACCCACGUGUACAGAGGCUGCAGCUGUAAAUGCGACGUCUUCUGAGGCGCCUGGUAUCCAUAGGAGUCAAAGCCACCGAUGAAGUCAACUGCGAAAGAGAAGAGUACAAACCAGCCCCAGGGGAGGCGGCCCUGUCCAAGGUACUGAAAACACCCCCACCCUCACCCCAACCCCCGGCCAUCUCUCUGAGGGGGAGACACUUACAGCUGUCCUCCUCUUCCAGGAAUACUUUGCUCACAUAACAGGCAAACACGAAUCCGAACAGCUGAGAGAGGGGAUAACAAUCAGGAAGGGAAAGAGUUGUCCCUGUCCCCUCUACCCACCGACUCAAAGCCUUGUCUAAGCAAACAUUUACGUUAAAUGCCUCUGCUUGAAAAGGCUGUGACUGACAAGCAGGUCACCUCUUUGUGCCCCAAGCUUCCCACUUAGGCCUGUGUAAAGUUCCUAAGACAGGGCUGGCCCUCCCAUUAAUGGUCUCAAGUAGCCCAGGCUGACCUUGAGCUCUGGAUCCUCCUACUUUGACCUUGCAAGUGCUGGGGUUACAGGCGUACCACCAUGCUUGGCUGUGACCCCUAUUUUGAACCCCCUUCUUUGCUUUGCUUUCUUGUUCGAUUGUUUCUCUGUGUAGCCCUGGCUGUCCUGGGACUUGCUCUGUAGAUCAGGCUGGCCUCGAACUCAGAGACCGGCUUAUCUCUGUCUCCUGAGUGCUGGGAUAAAUGUAUUGUGCCACCGAGGCCUGGCUGGAUCUCCUUUCUUAUUCUUUCAGCCCUGUAUGGUUGGCACUGUCCUUCGUAUGCAAAAAGUAAGGGAGCUUGAGAAAAACAAAUGACUUGUCCAAGGUCCCAGGUGAUGUGUUUAUAAAAAGAUAAAGAGAGAGGGGGAUAUGUUUUGCUGAAUGUGUGGUGAGGUGUGGGGAAGGGGGUGCCUCGGUGGGCCCAUGCUGAGGCAUCCCUUCCCCGUGAGGGGCCAGCCACACAAUGGUAUAGUACAGAAUAGAGUUUAUUAGGGCAUGGGGGAGGG